CUGGAAUGAUCUCGGUAUUUCCAUACAAGCAGCAAACAGCUGCUCUUUCCAGUGUCAGACUUGCUUUCUAGUCUAACAGUAUGUGUAUGGCUGGCUGAAUUUCAGUACCAAGUUUCCUGAAUAUGCAGGCUUUGUGCACAAAAUGAUGGACUUUAUUGCUGGCACCAAUGUGCGAAAGGAAAGUUUUCUUAGAAGCUGCCUGACAUGUCACUGAAGUCCCUUAAGAUUACCAUGGAACUGAGAGAACACUGACCUGCGUUUUGCAACAUCCUCCUUGGUACAGCAGUACUGAAUAUUGGCUGGUACUUCACACAAGGUAAAUGAACACAGGAGAAAACGAGCAUCCUUCCUUCCUGAAGAAUGUGUGGGAAUGUGCUUGCUGCAGAAGUGACUGUCACAUCAAGGAGGAAGAUGAGGAGUUGUAAGGGUGA